rnacentral:rRNA from 1 species
AGUAAAUUGGUUAAGUUAGAAAGGGCGCACGGUGGAUGCCUUGGCACUAGGAGCCGAAGAAGGACGGGACUAACACCGAUAUGCUUUGGGGAGCUGUACGUAAGCGUUGAUCCAGAGAUUUCCGAAUGGGGGAACCCACUAUCUUUAGUCGGAUAGUAUCCUUACGUGAAUACAUAGCGUGAGGAAGGCAGACCCAGGGAACUGAAACAUCUAAGUACCUGGAGGAAGAGAAAGAAAAAUCGAUUUCCUGAGUAGCGGCGAGCGAAACGGAAAGAGCCCAAACCAAGAAGCUUGCUUCUUGGGGUUGUAGGACACUCUAUACGGAGUUACAAAAGAAAGUUAUAAAUGAAGCGGUCUGGAAAGGCCCGCCAAAGACGGUAACAGCCCGGUAGUUGAAAUAGCUUUCCCUCCAGAGUGGAUCCU